rnacentral:tRNA from 1 species
GGGUGUAGCUUAGUGGUAGAGCACUUGCUUAAAAUGCAUAAGGCCCUGGGUUCAAUCCCUAGCACCACA